rnacentral:rRNA from 1 species
UCUUUAUUGACCAAACAAGUUUGGCGUUUGAUAGAUAAUCCCGGGUCUCUUUGUGCCACAAUACUUCGUGCAAAAUAUCUUCCUGAUGGUGACUUGCUUAAUGCAACUUUGAAGAAGAAGGCGUCCUCUACAUGGCAGAGUAUUAUGGAAGGAGUGAGUACACUCAAGUUGGGACAUGUUUGGAGAGUUGGAGGUGGGCAACAUAUUAAUAUUUGGUCUGAUGCAUGGGUACCACAGUCUCCAUCUAGAUUGCCGUUGACUAGAAGGGGCAAUCAACUACUCUCUAAGGUGACUGAUUUGAUUGACCCAACCACAGGCCAAUGGGAUAUACAACUAGUUGAGCAGACUUUUUGGCCUGUGGAUGUGUCUCGUAUACUCUCUAUCCCGCUACCAUCAUAUGAUAUGGCAGAUUUUGUGGUUUGGAACUUGACAAAAAUGGGAGCUUUCUCGGUUAGGCCGGCUUACUAUGCGGUCUGGAAGGAUAAAUAUGGAUCAAGGGCUACAACAGAUCGUCCUAGUGCAGCGAAUAUAAAUCCAAUAUGGGAUGUUGUGUGGAAAUUGGGUUGCCCAACGAAGGUUAAAAAUUUUCUUUGGAGAGCUCUUCAUGGCACCCUGCCAUGCCAUGUAACCCUAGCUGAUAGACAUAUGAAGGUAAAUACAAAAUGCCUAGCAUGCGAGUUACAUGAAAGUGUUAAACAUAUGCUUUUCCAAUGUCAAAAAGCAAGACAGAUCUGGUUGGGUUUGGGGUUGGAAGAUGUCAUU